rnacentral:lncRNA from 1 species
UUGUGUCGUAAGUUAUGGAAUCAUGUUGGUUCAUUAGAUGGUCCUUAUGACUCAUAUGUUCAACAAAUUCAAUAGCUCUUGCAACUCCUGCCGUGUGGUCUUGGCCUACCUACAUUGAUACUUGCAACCGAACCUUCGUGAUCCGAAAAAGACAUGGACAAAGCCCAUAGCCUCUGUUUAAAUGGGAAGGCAACAACCCUCCCAUGGACUUAGUUAUGAUGCAAUACAAUUCAAAACAGAAAGUGACUCCUUUUCUGCCUUCCUUCUCGCCCUCAGUUCCCACCUCCUCCCACUGACACCUUCCCCAGAGGUGGAUGCACCCGGCAG